UCGGGAAUUUUGGGCAAUGGGGGAAACCCUGACCCAGCAACGCCGCGUGAAGGAUGAAGUAUUUCGGUAUGUAAACUUCGAAAGAAUAGGAAGAAUAAAUGACGGUACUAUUUAUAAGGUCCGGCUAACUACGUGCCAGCAGCCGCGGUAAUACGUAGGGACCAAGCGUUGUUCGGAUUUACUGGGCGUAAAGCGCGCGUAGGUGGUUAGUUAAGUUGGAUGUGAAAUCCCCGGGCUCAACCUGGGAACUGCAUUCAAAACUGACUGACUAGAGUAUGGUAGAGGGUGGUGGAAUUUCCUGUGUAGCGGUGAAAUGCGUAGAUAUAGGAAGGAACACCAGUGGCGAAGGCGACCACCUGGACUGAUACUGACACUGAGGUGCGAAAGCGUGGGGAGCAAACAGGAUUAGAUACCCCCGUAGUCCCUGAGCGGGCUGGCAAGGCGCAU
rnacentral:rRNA from 1 species